CCAAGGGAAUGAGGAAGGUUGUCUAAUUACGGUACACGGCUGGCAGGCUCACUGAGGCCACCCUCGGCUGGCGACACUGAGACAUUUCAAAUCGCGCGCGCAGAAAAAAAGACAGUGACUGAACACGAGUAAUUCCAUGUAAU
ensembl:ncRNA K03H9.13 ncRNA